rnacentral:rRNA from 1 species
AAUGAACGUUGGCGGCGUGGAUUAGGCAUGCAAGUCGAGCGAGAACCCCGCAAGGGGGGACAGCGGCAAACGGGGUAGUAAUGUGUCGGAACGUGCCCAGAGGACGGGGAUAGCGGCGGGAAACUGCCGGUAAUACCCGAUGAUCUCGAGAGAGCAAAGGUGUGAUUCCGCCUUUGGAGCGGCCGACUAUUGGUAUUAGCUAGUUGGCGGGGUAACGGCCCACCAAGGCUUUGAUGCCUAGGGGGUGUGAGAGCAUGAUCCCCACCAUUGGGACUGAGACACUGCCCAGACACCUACGGGUGGCUGCAGUCGAGAAUCUUCGUCAAUGGGCGAAAGCCUGAACGAGCGACGCCGCGUGCGGGAUGAAGGCCUUUGGGUUGUAAACUCGCUGUCGAGGGGGAUGAAGGUUUUCAGGUACUCCUGAAAAUUGACAGAG